rnacentral:rRNA from 1 species
UUGGCGGAAUGGUUUUAAUCGGCCCGUCUAGUAACACGGACCAAGGAGUCUAACAUAUGUGCAAGUUCACGGGUGUUAAACCUGCUUGCGUAAUGAAAGUGACUGCUGGGAUUUUUGCACCAGCAACCGACCAAUCAAUUGAGAGAGGUUUGAGUAUGAGCAUAUCUGUUAGGACCCGAAAGAUGGUGAACUAUGCCUGUGAAGGGCAAACUCAGGGGAAACUCUGAUGGAGGCUCGUAGCGAUACUGACGUGCAAAUCGUUCGUCAUACAUGGGUAUAGGGGCGAAAGACUAAUCGAACCAUCGAGUAGCUGGUUCCCUCCGAAAUUUCCCUUAGGAUAGCUGCAACUUGUACAGUUUUAUCAGGUAAAGCGAAUGAUUAGAGGAAUUGGGGACAGGUUUGUCCUUGACCUAUUCUCAAACUUUAAAUGGGUAAUCUGUAGUGGUUGCUUUAUGGAACUUCUAAAAUGAAUGGCAAUAUUGGGUGGGCCAUUUUUGGUAAGCAGAACUGGCGAUGAGGGAUGAACCUAAUGCGGGGUUAA